UUUCUUCUUUUCCCCGAAAGCAAAAUAUCAGUUGGCCAUCCUCAAAAAUUCAAAAUUCUCAAUUCACAGGAUGGCCAUCACCCAUCUUUUAUCCACCAAUAUUACACCCUCCCUCUUUACUUCCCAACCAUUUCUUGUACUGAAACCCAAAAGAACACUAGUCAUAUACCCAAAAAGGCCUACAAUUCGAGCUCAAUCUAAGAACAAUGACUCUGCAGAUGGCCCAGAUCGUUUAAUCUCCGCCAUCACUUACUUCUACCCUUUUUUUGACGGUAUUCAGUAUGGGAAAUAUGUCAUCACACAGUUUGCUCCAAUCCAAACCCUUAUUCAACCUUUAGUCCCAGCUAUAAGGGUUUUCAAGAGCUUCCCACUUAAUGGGUUGCUAAUUUUCUUUACCCUUUACUUUGUUGUUGUAAGAAAUAACAAUUUCAGUAGGUAUGUGAGGUUCAAUACCAUGCAGGCUAUUGUUCUUGAUGUGCUUCUCAUAUUUCCUGAUCUUUUGGAGAGGAGUUUUAAUCCAAAAGAUGGGUUGGGCUUGGAUUUGAUGAUGAGCUUUGAUAGCACUGUGUUUUUGUUCCUUUUGGUGUCUUUAGUUUAUGGUUCUUCUUCUUGCUUGUUGGGUCAGCUUCCUAGGUUGCCUAUUGUUGCUGAAGCUGCUGAUAGGCAAGUGCUAUGAACGAACGAGGGAAAACAUGUGGAGCUUUGCAAAAGGUUGACAUCAAGUGUUACUUCAUCAUAUAGUUAUAUUGAUGCUUUAGACUAUGAUGAACUGGUGAACUCAAGAUGCCUGAUUAUUUACCCUAAAAUGCUAGUGGUAAAAUCGACUUUCAAUGUAGCGUUACCAGCCAUGCAUACUGAACAUAAUAUUGUGGGCAUUUAGGAACCAGAAAAUCAUGGAUUUUUGUGUUAAGGACGCAGUCUUAUGCCGGUCAAACCCCAUUUCCUGUUUAUUAUCCUUUCUAAGUUAUAUGGUUAUUAUUCAGCUCAAGGCUAGCAUAAAUAUCUUUACUUAUGUAUAGCAUUCAACGUUGGAGACUUUUGCUUCCUUCAGCAUAAUUGGUAGAACAUGGAGUCAUUACUUUGCUGAUUAUUCUCAUGUUUAUGCCAACUAUU